GGCGAACGCUGGCGGCGUGCUUAACACAUGCAAGUCGAACGGAAAGGCCCUGCUUUUGUGGGGUGCUCGAGUGGCGAACGGGUGAGUAACACGUGAGUAACCUGCCCUUGACUUUGGGAUAACUUCAGGAAACUGGGGCUAAUACCGGAUAGGAGCUCCUGCUGCAUGGUGGGGGUUGGAAAGUUUCGGCGGUUGGGGAUGGACUCGCGGCUUAUCGGCUUGUUGGUGGGGUAGUGGCUUACCAAGGCUUUGACGGGUAGCCGGCCUGAGAGGGUGACCGGGCACAUUGGGACUGAGGUACGGCCCAGACUCCUACGGGAGGCAGCAGUGGGGAAUAUUGCACAAUGGGCGGAAGCCUGAUGCAGCAACGCCGCGUGCGGGAUGACGGCCUUCGGGUUGUAAACCGCUUUCGCCUGUGACGAAGCGUGAGUGACGGUAAUGGGUAAAGAAGCACCGGCUAACUACGUG
rnacentral:rRNA from 1 species